AGUGAACGCUGGCGGCGUGCUUAACACAUGCAAGUCGAACGAGAACGGGCUAUAGCUUGCUAUAGUUGUCAGCUAAGUGGCGCACGGGUGAGUAAUGUAUAGGUAAUAUGCCUCUUACUAAGGGAUAACAAAUGGAAACGUUUGCUAAUACCUUAUACUCCUUAUUAACAUAAGUUAAUAAGGGAAAGAUUUAUUGGUAAGAGAUUAGCCUGUAUUGUAUCAGUUAGUUGGUGGGGUAAUGGCUUACCAAGACUAUGACACAUAACUGGUUUGAGAGGAUGAUCAGUCACACUGGAACUGAGACACGGUCCAGACUCCUACGGGAGGCAGCAGUGGGGAAUAUUGCACAAUGGACGGAAGUCUGAUGCAGCAGCGCCGCGUGGAGGAUGACACAUUUCGGUGCGUAAACUCCUUUUAUAUGAGAAGAUAAUGACGGUAUUAUAUGAAUAAGCACCGGCUAACUCCGUGCCAGCAGCCGCCGUAAAAC
rnacentral:rRNA from 1 species